rnacentral:rRNA from 1 species
CCUACGGGUGGCAGCAGUGAGGAAUAUUGGUCAAUGGACGAGAGUCUGAACCAGCCAAGUAGCGUGAAGGAUGACUGCCCUAUGGGUUGUAAACUUCUUUUAUAAAGGAAUAAAACGAGGCACGUGUGCCUUUUUGCAUGUACUUUAUGAAUAAGGAUCGGCUAACUCCGUGCCAGCAGCCGCGGUAAUACGGAGGAUCCGAGCGUUAUCCGGAUUUAUUGGGUUUAAAGGGAGCGUAGAUGGGUUGUUAAGUCAGUUGUGAAAGUUUGCGGCUCAACCGUAAAAUUGCAAUUGAUACUUGCAGUCUAGAGUACAGUUGAGGUAGGCGGAAUUCGUGGUGUAGCGGUGAAAUGCUUAGAGAUCACGAAGAACCCCGAUUGCGAAGGCAGCUUACUAAGCUGUGACUGACAUUGAUGCUCGAAAGUGUGGGUAUCAAACAGGAUUAGAUACCCUUGUAGUC